rnacentral:rRNA from 1 species
GACGUAGGGCGCAAGCGUUGUCCGGAAUUAUUGGGCGUAAAGAGCUCGUAGGCGGCUUGUUGCGUCGACUGUGAAAACCCGUGGCUCAACCAUGUGGUCUGCAGUCGAUACGGGCAGGCUAGAAUUCGGUAGGGGAGACUGGAAUUCCUGGUGUAGCGGUGAAAUGCGCAGAUAUCAGGAGGAACACCGAUGGCGAAGGCAGGUCUCUGGGCCGAUAUUGACGCUGAGGAGCGAAAGCGUGGGGAGCGAACGG